rnacentral:tRNA from 1 species
GGCUACUUCCUAGGAGGACAGUUGUUUUGAAAACAAUAAUUAAGUGUUCAAUUCACUUAGUAGUUU